CCUACGGGAGGCAGCAGUGGGGAAUAUUGGACAAUGGGCGCAAGCCUGAUCCAGCAAUACCGCGUGUGUGAAGAAGGCCUUAGGGUUGUAAAGCACUUUCAAUUGGGAGGAAUACCUGGUCGCUAAUAUCGGCCAGAUUGACAUUACCUUUAGAAGAAGCACCGGCUAACUCCGUGCCAGCAGCCGCGGUAAUACGGAGGGUGCGAGCGUUAAUCGGAAUUACUGGGCGUAAAGCGUGCGUAGGUGGUGAUUUAAGUCAGAUGUGAAAGCCCUGGGCUCACCCUGGGAACGGCAUUUGAUACUGGGUCACUGGAGUUUGGAAGAGGAGAGUGGAAUUUCAGGUGUAGCGGUGAAAUGCGUAGAUAUCUGAAGGAACACCAGUGGCGAAGGCGACUCUCUGGUCUAAAACUGACGCUGAGGCACGAAAGCAUGGGGAGCAAACAGGAUUAGAUACCCUGGUAGUCCAUGCCGUAAACGAUGUCAACUAACCGUUGGGUUUCUUUGAAACUUAGUGGUGGAGCUAACGUAUUAAGUUGACCGCCUGGGGAGUACGGUCGCAAGACUAAAACUCAAAUGAAUUGACGGGGGCCCGCACAAGCGGUGGAGCAUGUGGUUUAAUUCGAUGCAACGCGAAGAACCUUACCUACCCUUGACAUGUCUGAAAUCCCUGAGAGAUUGGGGAGUGCCUUCGGGAAUCAGAACACAGGUGCUGCAUGGCUGUCGUCAGCUCGUGUCGUGAGAUGUUGGGUUAAGUCCCGUAACGAGCGCAACCCUUAUCCUUAGUUGCCAGCGCGUCAUGGCGGGAACUCUAGGGAGACUGCCGAUGAUAAAUCGGAGGAAGGUGGGGACGACGUCAAGUCAUCAUGGCCCUUAUGGGUAGGGCUACACACGUGCUACAAUGGGCGGUACAGAGGGCUGCAAAGUCGCAAGGUCAAGCAAAUCCCACAAAGCCGCUCUUAGUCCGGAUUGCAGUCUGCAACUCGACUGCAUGAAGUCGGAAUCGCUAGUAAUCGCGAAUCAGAAUGUCGCGGUGAAUACGUUCCUGGGCCUUGUACACACCGCCCGU
rnacentral:rRNA from 1 species